GAUUAAUUCUCAGAUCCGUCUUCACUAGAGUCGCCACCACCACCGUCACGCUCAUCAUAACCACAACUGAUCAAAGUCCAAGAGGGAUGAGUAUGCCAAAACUGUCUCCAAACGUUUGCAAGAUAUUGUUUAAGCUUGUCUGAUUUGUUUGUUUAGAGUGUUUGCUCAAAUUACUCAACUUUCUUAUGGUUGUUGCUGGACUUGGCAUGAUCGUUUAUGGUAUCUACUUGUUUGUCAAGUACAAGAGAGCACCCGAUGAUAACUCUCUUAACUUCAACGGCAACGGCCAGAGUUACAUCUCUUUCGGGAGGCCCAUGCUUAGGGCUGUCUCUCUCUCUUCCAAUGUCUUUGACAAUCUCCCCAAAGUUUGGUUUAUCUACUUGUUCAUUGGGUGGCUCUGUUUGUUAUCUCUGGUGGAAGCUUGAUGAAGGUGCUCAGACUUUGAGGAAGGUGGAAGUUUGAUGGAGGUGCUCGAUGCCAUUCAAAAGAGAUAUCUUGCUGGUGUUUGAAGUGUCGAUAGUGAAUAAUGUUGUAUGCACUUGUGUGUGAUGAUUUGUAUGAAAGUGAUAAUGUGGUGUUAUGGGAUUUAAAUAAUUAUAUUGGUUUUUUGAAUUUUUAAUAAUUUAAAUUAUUUUUAUUUCA